rnacentral:lncRNA from 1 species
GAAUGUUCGUGGAGAGAUUGACACUGAAAUCAAUCAAGAUUUUCCAAAAAAUUCCCAUUUAGUGUCUUGAAGCAUGCAUUAACGAAACAUUAAGGCUCCAUCCUCCUGCACCUUUGCUGCUUCCCCACCGGGCGAUUGAGACCUGCCAAGUAAUGAAUUACACAGUACCAAAAUAUGCUCAAGUAAUCAUCAAUGUUUGGUCUAUUGGGCGUGAUCCAUCUUUAUGGGAUGAGCCACUUAAGUUCAGACCAGAGAGAUUUCUUACCUCGUCUUUGGAUUUUAAAGGAAACAACUUUGAAUUCUUACCAUUUAGUGCAGGAAGGAGGAUCUGCCCUGGCUUUCCCAUGGCUGCAAAGACUGUUCCAUUGAUUCUUGCCUCUUUGAUAUAUUUUUUCGACUGGUCUCUUCCACAUGGAA